rnacentral:rRNA from 1 species
GGGCUCACACAAGCGGUGGAGGAUGUGGCUUAAUUCGAGGCUACGCGAAGAACCUUAUCCUAGUCUUGACAUGUAUGGAUUAACCCUGUGAAAGCAGGGCCACGCCUUCGGGUGGAACAUACACAGGUGCUGCAUGGCUGUCGUCAGCUCGUGUCGUGAGAUGUCGCGUUAAGUCGCUUAACGAGCGAAACCCUUGUCUCUAGUUGCCAGCGCGUAAUGGCGGGGACUCUAGAGAGACCGCCGGCGUUAAGCCGGAGGAAGGUGGGGAUGACGUCAAGUCCUCAUGGCCCUUAUGACUAGGGCUGCACACGUCCUACAAUGGAACGCACAAAGGGAUGCGAAACCGCGAGGUCAAGCAAAUCCCAAAAAUCGUUCCCUAGUUCGGAUUGCAGGCUGCAACUCGCCUGCAUGAAGCUGGAAUCGCUAGUAAUCGCGGGUC